rnacentral:rRNA from 1 species
CUACGGGUUGCUGCAGUGGGGAAUAUUGCACAAUGGGCGCAAGCCUGAUGCAGCCAUGCCGCGUGUAUGAAGAAGGCCUUCGGGUUGUAAAGUACUUUCAGCGGGGAGGAAGGGAGUAAAGUUAAUACCUUUGCUCAUUGACGUUACCCGCAGAAGAAGCACCGGCUAACUCCGUGCCAGCAGCCGCGGUAAUACGGAGGGUGCAAGCGUUAAUCGGAAUUACUGGGCGUAAAGCGCACGCAGGCGGUUUGUUAAGUCGGAUGUGAAAUCCCCGGGCUCAACCUGGGAACGGCAUCUGAUACUGGCAAGCUUGAGUCUGGUAGAGGGGGGUAGAAUUCCAGGUGUAGCGGUGAAAUGCGUAGAGAUCUGGAGGAAUACCGGUGGCGAAGGCGGCCCCCUGGACGAAGACUGACGCUCAGGUGCGAAAGCGUGGGGAGCAAACAGGAUUAGAUACCCGGGUAGUC